AACGCGAAGAACCUUACCAGCUCUUGACAUGUCCCGUAUGAGUACCAGAGAUGGAACUCUUCAGUUCGGCUGGCGGGAACACAGGUGCUGCAUGGCUGUCGUCAGCUCGUGUCGUGAGAUGUUGGGUUAAGUCCCGCAACGAGCGCAACCCUCGUCCUCUGUUGCUAACAGGUCAUGCUGAGAACUCUGAGGAAACUGCCGGUGAUAAGCCGGAGGAAGGUGGGGAUGACGUCAAGUCCUCAUGGCCCUUACAUCCUGGGCUACACACGUGUUACAAUGGUGGUGACAAUGGGUCGCGAUCCCGCAAGGGCUAGCUAAUCCCCAAAAGCCACCUCAGUUUGGAUUGUACUCUGCAACUCGAGUACAUGAAAUUGGAAUCGCUAGUAAUCGUGGAUCAGCACGCCACGGUGAAUACGUUCCCGGGCUUGUACACACCGACUGUAC
rnacentral:rRNA from 1 species